AGUGAACGCUGGCGGUAGGCCUAACACAUGCAAGUCGAACGGCAGCACAGGAGAGCUUGCUCUCUGGGUGGCGAGUGGCGGACGGGUGAGGAAUACAUCGGAAUCUACUCUGUCGUGGGGGAUAACGUAGGGAAACUUACGCUAAUACCGCAUACGACCUACGGGUGAAAGCAGGGGACCUUCGGGCCUUGCGCGAUUGAAUGAGCCGAUGUCGGAUUAGCUAGUUGGCGGGGUAAAGGCCCACCAAGGCGACGAUCCGUAGCUGGUCUGAGAGGAUGAUCAGCCACACGGGAACUGAGACACGGUACAGACUCCUACGUGAGGCAGCAGUGGGGAAUAUUGGACAAUGGGCGCAAGCCUGAUCCAGCCAUACCGCGUGGGUGAAGAAGGCCUUCGGGUUGUAAAGCCCUUUUGUUGGGAAAGAAAUCCAGCUGGCUAAUACCCGGUUGGGAUGACGGUACCCAAAGAAUAAGCACCGGCUAACUUCGUGCCAGCCGCCGCGGUAA
rnacentral:rRNA from 1 species